AGUGAACGCUGGCGGUAGGCCUAACACAUGCCAGUCGAACGGCAGCACAGUAAGAGCUUGCUCUUACGGGUGGCGAGUGGCGGACGGGUGAGGAAUACAUCGGAAUCUACUUUUUCGUGGGGGAUAACGUAGGGAAACUUACGCUAAUACCGCAUACGACCUACGGGUGAAAGCAGGGGAUCUUCGGACCUUGCGCGAUUGAAUGAGCCGAUGUCGGAUUAGCUAGUUGGCGGGGUAAAGGCCCACCAAGGCGACGAUCCGUAGCUGGUCUGAGAGGAUGAUCAGCCACACUGGAACUGAGACACGGUCCAGACUCCUACGGGAGGCAGCAGUGAGGAAUAUUGGACAAUGGGCGCAAGCCUGAUCCAGCCAUACCGCGUGGGUGAAGAAGGCCUUCGGGUUGUAAAGCCCUUUUGUUGGGAAAGAAAAGCAGCAGGUUAAUACCCCGCUGUUCUGACGGUACCCAAAGAAUAAGCACCGGCUAACUUCGUG
rnacentral:rRNA from 1 species